AACGAACGCUGGCGGCAUGCCUAACACAUGCAAGUCGAACGAGACCUUCGGGUCUAGUGGCGCACGGGUGCGUAACGCGUGGGAACCUGCCCUUAGGUUCGGAAUAACUCCCCGAAAGGGGUGCUAAUACCGGAUAAUGUCUUCGGACCAAAGAUUUAUCGCCUUUGGAUGGGCCCGCGUUGGAUUAGCUAGUUGGUAGGGUAAAAGCCUACCAAGGCGACGAUCCAUAGCUGGUCUGAGAGGAUGAUCAGCCACACUGGGACUGAGACACGGCCCAGACUCCUACGGGAGGCAGGAGUGGGGAAUAUUGGACAAGGGGCGAAAGCCUGAUCCAGCAACGCCGCGUGAGUGAUGAAGGCCUUAGGGUUGUAAAGCUCUUUUACCCGGGAUGAUAAUGACAGUACCGGGAGAAUAAGCUCCGGCUAACUCCGUG
rnacentral:rRNA from 1 species